ensembl:lncRNA
AUACCACUUCACUGAGAAACAGUUGGUCUGGCAUUUAUUUUACACGGUGAUUUCGAACAGCUGUUUAAGCGACACAAUCGCCGCAACGACACUGUGAAGUCUACAGUUAUUUGUAUUAGUUAAACGCCGAUGAGAAACAAACUACCUCAAAGGGAAGUCAGCAGGCGGACAUCAUGCCCAGAGGAGCGAUAAUAACAGUUUUUCUGAGAGACUGAGUGAGAGGCUAAAAAAAUAGACCAGGUUUUAACAGAAAAUCAAUAAAGGCACAAGUUCUCUGUCAUGAACAUCGUUUUGAUGCCUGAACUUACCUCUAAUAUCCUGCUCAAGUACUGGAGGGGCCCUCUCAUCGUUGGUGCCGUCCACCUUUUUAACUUAUUGACACAUCAUAACAGUUCAGCACUAGCUGUACCAAACACAGCUGCGUCAAGCUCCCUACAAGCGGUACACGAAUCCGGAAACAAAGACUUGUCGCACACUAAACAAUUUUACGAAUCAAAACUGAGCGUGAUGAGGGUAAAUCCGGAUCUGGACUCCUUUCCCACCAUCAGCAGAAGAACCGAAGGAGAAGAAGCGCCAACCAACAACCAGAACAGGGUGGAAGCUCUGACACCACAGCAGCUGGAGGACACAGACCACAGCAUGGACGCCUCAGCGACUCCCACAACGUCUGCAGCCAUCACGUUCUGGGCUCAUCAGAUGAACCAGCUACUACAAGCGUGUGUGUCUGACACAGACACCUGCUUAUGACAAUCAGCAAAGGAAAACAAGGACAGAGAAACAGCAGAGUGAGCGCCAUCUGAGAAGAUGAUGAUUUACAGUCUGAUGGGUUUUAUAUUAUUAUACUAUUUUAACUUGCAACAAAUUCAGUAAUUAAAUCCUCCAUGUUUCUAAAAAGAUUUGUGCACACUAUAGGUUUGUCUGGCCAGACUGUAAAAAAAACAAAAAAAAACAAAACAAAAACAAAACCAGACUAUAGGAAGACUGAAACUGACUGAAAUCGACUGAAACAGACUAUUAAUGACUAUUAGAGAGGAGUAAUAAUAAUUACUGUACGUACCAGACUAUUAAAAAAAAACUUAUUCUUUCACUGUCUUGUGCAACAUCUGACAGCAAGACACCUUAAGAUUUAUUUUUGCUUUCAAACUUGUGCCCAGUUAAAUUCUUAAGAAGAGAUCUCAUGUGUAGUUUAGGUAUUUGAUUGAUUUCCACUCCAGACGGAGUGCAGGUUACAUCUACAGACAUUCUAAAUAAUCCCUCUUUUGUUGGUGUUAACUUCAGCUCAGCUGUUCUCUUAUCAUUGGCUGCUGAGGGGGGGCUGUAACUGAGGCCCUCACACAGGCUGCAUCACAGCUUGUUUCCCCAUGUGAUACGACCUCCAGAGACGCAUCUGACCUGUCCUGUACAGCACAUGUGUCUUCUGGUCCUGAUGAUGAGUUUGAAGAGUUAUGAUUUCACACACACACACACACACACACACACACACACACACACACACACACACACACACACACACACACACACACACACACACACACACACACACACACACACACACAAACUGUCCUCAACUUCCCUCUUUUGGGAUGAACACAGGUCUGCGCUUGCGAUUUCUUUUACUAACGAAGAAAAAGAUUUUUGAUUAUUAUUCUACAGUUCCACACGUCCCUCUGUGAAAACAUGAUGAAGACAGAUGCAGGACGUGGGUCCUUUCGUGAACAGAUGUCAACGGGGUGGAGACUGGUGAACG